rnacentral:lncRNA from 1 species
GAGCUGACAAAAUCAGGUAUAUUUACGAUGAUUGCUUUGGCAGCCAGGUGAGAGGUGGCUUGGAGCUGGGCACCACGGGGUGAGGGAGGCCUGCUUGAAGCAAGAGUCCACAAAAGACACGAUCUGAGUCUGAACUCAAGUAAUGACCCUGAAGAUGGAAAGUAGGGCAAAGUCCUGGUUCUUCAAAGUCAAAGAACCAACCACGCUGGGUGACUUAGAACAGCAGGGAUGAGGGGAAAGCUUCCGGAUUGAGAGGCUGAUGGGGUGAUGCCAACACUCACAGAGGCAGAGAACACAGAAAGAGAAGGGGGCGGGGUGAUGGGAGGCUGUGGGUCUGGACUGGGUAAAUGUGAGGUAACCCUAGGACACCCCCAGUGGAAAUGUCCAGUAAAUGGCUGCAAAGAUGCUUCCAAAUUUCAGAAGACAUGUCUAGAGAUAGAAACACAGAUAUAGAUGUAAUUAGCAGAGAGAGGAUCAUUAAAGCCUUGGAGUGGAUGAGCUCUCCUAGAGAGUCACGUAGAAAAGCAAAGAGGAGAAUAGACAUGGAAACACCAAACGGAAGAGCUGGACAGAAGAACCAGAAAGAGUGUCAAAGGCAUCGGAGGGGAGAUCAGCGGCCAGCAAUGGAAGACUGGCCUUCAUCAUGGCCUCAUCACUAUCUACCAUGACACUUCAUAUUUAUUUCCAUAGUAAUUUACUGCCUGCCUCCUCCACUAGAAUAUACUAUACUUCUCUACCUCCAGAACCUAGAAGGGUGCCCUCAGCACAUAGUAGGACUCAAGAAGCAUUUGUCAAGUGGGCGAAUGAUUAGAGAAAGGAAUGCAUGCCAAGGCAGGAAACUGUUUCAAAGUAUGGGAUUUGUCAACAUGGGCAACUGCUGCAAAGACUCAAGAAAAUAGGUCAUUAGUUUUGAAAAUUAGGUCGUUGGUAACCUUAGCAAGAGUCCUUUUAAUAAUGUGUUGGUAUAAAAGCUAAAUUGUUACAGCUUCAAAGAAAACAGGGGUGAGGUCACUCUUUGCAAGGGAAGAGAAGGCAAUGUCAAGAGGUUAAUUUGGGAGAGGAGAGAUGGAAGCAAUCUGAGAUCAUGGGUGGACUUAGAUGAAUCAGCCAGAGGAAAGAAAGUGGAGCUAAAGAAGAAGAAAAGCAUGGAACAAGGCAGUGAAAAGGGCAGAAGGCAUUAGAGAGACCAGCAUACAAGAGGUUGUCUUAGUUCACUAUAUUCCAGCUGCUAUAGUAAAAUGCCAUAACAGAGGUGGCUUACAGACAACAGAGAUUUAUUUUGCACAGUUAUGAGGUCUAGGAAGUUUCAGAUUAAAGCACCAGCAGGUUCAGUAUCUGAGGAGAGCCCGCUUUCUGGUUCACCGAUGAUACCUUCUAGCUACUACCUGUACAAUCUGCAUAAGGCGAGGAGUAGCUUAUUUUGAAGGAGAUUCCAUGGGGAAAUCAAAAGUGGCCAAUUAGGGGGGAGCAAGGAGAUUUCAAGACGCACUGAAGACCUAACCAAAACUGGAAACCAUAAGUCCAUGGUGGUGUCCAGGAGCAUGGUUAUGGAGCUGAGAGCCCCAGAGCAGAAGCAAGGAAAAAAGUCAGGUUCACCAUGCAUCCAUGGCGUGGUGUAAUGAAAACUACCUUGGAAGAAAGCCUACCCUCCUUCUCUACCAGUAAGAACAGGCAGUCCCUGCUUAAGCCCUAUGGCCCCCUCCACAUUGCCAGAUCCUGAGCAUGUAAUCACACCUCUAUGAGCUUCUUACCCACAACUGUGGAUCGUAAUAUUGUUCUAGUCUUACCAAAUGUGGUGAGGCCCAAAUAGGAAAACAUAUUUGAAUGACUUUUGCCAACUCCUAAGCACUACGGAGGUUCCCCGCCUUGCUGUUUCCCCAAACAAGCCUUGUGCCAUCUUUUCAAGUAACAUGGAGCAAGGACAUCCUAAACGCCUCCUAGGCACCUGGCAUCCUCCUCUCCAACUAUGCCCCUGGCCCCAUGGGAGUGACAUUUUGGACCUGCAGAAUAAGAACAAUUUACAUAGGAGACCCUAAACUCAUUCAGUCUCUAUUUCAAUUACUUCCCCAUGAAAAGAACUUCUGCCAACUCUCAUGCCUUAGAGAUGGAACCAAGGAGAGAGAAAUUUGCUUUUGUUAGCAGACUCCAUAAUUACAUGGAGAUAUGUCCACCUGGGUAAUAGCACAUGGGAUUUUUUUUUUAACUUUUUAUAUAAAUAUUUCAGUUUCUUACCUUGCUAGAUUGACUUUUUCUCAAUAUUAAUUGCCUCCAUAGUCUUAAUCUAUAGCAACAUUUCUAACCGGUGUCCCUGUACAUUUUUCUUUCUCAGGAGGCUGCUACUGGACGACUUAAUUUAAAUUUUUUAAUACCAUGAAUAAAUAGUAUCUGGCUUUGCUCAAGGGGGGUAAGUGAGUCUCUAAAGGGUGAGUGUCAGCUCUUCGACAGUUUACGGAAAGAGGCUACUUACUGAAUUUCAGUCUGGCCCACAUGUUUCAUAAAUAGGAAAAUCCACAUCUCCUUUAACCAAUGCUAAUUUCUAUCAUCUACGAAAUGGACAUCUAAGCCGUCACCUUAGGUGUUCCUAUCUAUAGGCACUGAGUUUAUGAAUGAGGUCCCUUGCCUAAAGGAUCAGCCCUUUACAUAACGAGGCUCCUCCUGUUGGUCACAGAUCCCAGACAACCGGGUCACCUGGGACAUUAAGUUGCAGCCAUAAAUUAUUCCGUUUUGCAUCCCUAGAGCAGCUGCUCUGGUCACACAGCCCAUCUCUCUCUCCUGUGCCAAGAGAGAGGGUGAUCUUAGGCCCCCCUCACUUUUCAAAUAAGCCCUAACUCCUCCCAUGGCCGAGCACGUGUUCUGUUCCCUGGAUAGCCCCAUUUUUACUGCUGAAACUCAAGAAGCUAUUAAAGUCUCCUCAACCUGGCAGAGCCCCAGGACCAGAUGGUGUUCUCCCAGUUCUUAUAAAGCCUUUAUUAACAAAAUGACACCAAGCCUCACUGGCCUCCAUAAUGACUGCUUUUUCCCACCCACGGAAGACCCUCGAUGGCGAGGACGACCUGUUGAUUGCUAUGCUUGCCGUCACUGUCAGAACACCUCUGGACCUCCGCAUGGCUCUGAAUCUUCACUCGAACCCUUGCAGGGCCCUGAUGAGAACAGCUCCCUCUCCCCCUCCCCGACCCCCCCCCCAAAAGGGAAGAAAGCCAAAGCAAGCUAAUGAGAAGCAUAAACAGCAGACUACAGAGGGGGGUUUGCUAGAAACUCACCACCCCUCUUCUGGGAUUUUGAAGAGUCUGGCAAUGAUGAAGCUUUUGGCAGCCCCCCCUCAGGAAGAGGCAGAGCUGUUAAUUGCUAAUCUGGCCUCAUGGGAUUUGCAUGGAGGACUGGCUUUCAGUCCGGUGUAGGUUUUCAUCUUGUGUGGCGGCUCCAUCAGGGUGCCCAGAAGAGCCGGGGGAGUCAGUAAGGGAAGACGGAAUUUCUCACCUCCAGGUCAGUAGUGCAGAUGUGAAAGGCCACGGAAAGCCCUUAUCUUCGGGUGGACUCUGGGAAGGUGCUCAGGCACCAUCAGCUGCCAUACGUGAUGCUCAAGUGACAAACACUCACGGCACAGCAUCUCAGGGAAGCGCUUGGAAACUCAUGCUCUCUGAAGU